CGUCCCGUGCCUGGCGGCGCUCCCUCCCGGGGCGUCCCGCCUUUGGCGGCGCUCCCGGGCCCAUGGCGCUGCCCUCGGUGCACAGGUGCCUCCAACUCAGUGAUGAAAACGAACAGUUACUCAAGAAGUUGAAAAAACUACGUAUUAAAAAUAAAGAGCUAGAAAAGAAUCUGGCUCAGUUCCAAGAGAAACUGCGUAUGCAGCAGUUAAUACACGGCUAUGUCACAAGCAGAGAUGUUCAAGUUCAAACAGAACCCCUCUUAUGGCAUAAGAGCGGACAGAAGGAUCUCGGUCUAGAGAGUGAAAGUGUCAGACUACUUCAGAUGUAUAAUAACCUGCAGAGACGUUACAUUAAAGAAAUCAAAACAAACCAGGAGCAAAAUGAAACAAUUAAAAAUCUCACUAUUAAAAUUCAUGAGCUAGAGCAUAAUCUUCGAGAGCAGAGACAAAGAACGGAGCAGCUGGAAUGUAAAAAGGUUUCUAAGAAGGCUAGAGCUGUUUCUGAAAAAAGAAGUCAAACCCCAGAGGGAGAAGCAACAUCUUGCAGACACAUAUAUAAAAAGAAGGAAUCCUGUUGCAGUACGUAUUUAGAGCUAUUGUUGAAGGAGAUUAAAAAGCUGAAGAAAGAAAAUGAAAAGUUGUCUGCAGAAAGGCGAGCACUAAGAAAUGAAUUAGCUGGAUUAGACAAGGAUUUUUUUGAAGAAAUAGAAGAUCUAAAGCAUGCAGUACAGGAAUCUGUGAAACUGAAUAAUCAGUAUGAGAAGUGCUUGAAACAAAUAAGUGCAAUUUAUGGACUUCCUUUAACAGCACCUUUGUGACUAUUAAUUUAAUGGCAAGUAAAUGUUCCGCAUAAUUUUUCAUACUCACUGCAGCAUUGAAACCUCAUCUGGUGUAUGUAGUGCCACUUUUUGAUAAUGUUAUGUGUUCAGGAAUAUGAUUUCAAUAUAACAAGCUAUUCUGAAAGGUUUUUGUAUUGUAUCUUUGAUUUUUGUUUAUAUAGUUUAAAAAUAAACAGUGGCAUGUCUAACUUCUAAGUUUCA
rnacentral:lncRNA from 1 species